CUGGAAUGCAGAUGCCAUGAGACAGUGACUGUUUCCUUCUGGCUCACUCCUGACUUGUCAUCUAACACAGUGCUGACUCCAGAACAGAGGGGAAAUCUGGGUUUGGAGCAGCUAUACCAUAUAUCUAAGGUCAAACACCUAAGAGGAACUUUUAACUUGGGUCAUUUAAGUGCAAGUGCCUUGUUUUCGCCAUUUUGCCAAGGACAUGGGGCUCAAGUUUGGGUGUGCACCUGGCUUGCAGCAGAACUGGCUGGGAUGGCUUCAUAACUUCCCUUCUAACAAUAUAACAAUAUGCUUCUGUAAAUUUUCACACUGAAUUGGACAAGAAUCAGAAUAUCCUGUUUUGAACAUCUGCACAGAUUGACAAACAAAAAUGGAACAUCAAGACUGACUGGAAAUGGUGAUGUGAAAUUCAUUAAAUGCUCUUGCAAUUGCCAGAGGUGCCAAGACUGAGGCUCAGAGAAAUGAAAUAACAUGCCAAAGGUCACAGUGUCUAGUGGAGCUGGGGCCAAAUUCAGGUUCGCGUGAUUAAUAACACACAGGAAAAACCCUCAACUUCUUUCAUUCGCCUGUUGAGAUAAAGGGAAAGAGAGUCCCCAUCCAGGCCUGCAGGAGAGGGAGAACUGGUGGAUGCAAAUGAAAAAGCAGAGGCAUUCCUCAGGGUCUUGCUCUGCCACCCAGCCUGGAGUGCAGUGGUGCAAUCGUGGCUUACUGCAGUCCCAACCUCCUGGGCUCAAGCAAUCCUCCCAUCUCAACCUUCCCAGUAGCUGGGACUACAGAUUAAAAGAGCAGAGGACCAAAGAGAGAAAAAUUAAACCUCCAUCUUAUUCAUGGGAGCUUCAGGAGAAUUUGGAUGCCUUUCAGGGAACAACAGGGAAACCCCCUCACCUUCAGUUGUUCACUUUUCUUGAAUUGUUAAGGUCGCAUCUUGUAUUGUGAACAGUAGCAUCUCGAAUUUGUAGCCACAUUCAUUUAGUUCUUUGCUCAUAAAUUCAUUUAUAAUGUGUUUAUUGAGUAUGUACUGUGUGACAUUAGCUCUGAUUUCAAAGAGCUUACAACAGAGCUAGAUAAAACAAGACCAGGAUAUUUAGAACAUUUGGAGAAUAACGAGAGGAUAUAUAAUAAAGGGCUAAACUGAAUAUAAUUAAAUGUCAGCCUGCAUGGUGCCAUGAGCAACAGUUAAUUAAAUCCAGGCCAUAAUCCAUGUCCUGGUUCUAAGAAAAGAGUCUCCUACAAUCUCUUACUUUCCACUGUAACUAAUACCUGGAGUUCAGUCCAGUAACGUAAUUUAGCAAUGGCUAUAUUUCCAUGCUCAAAAGGGAACUCUGUUGAUCUUGAAAUGUGUAUGUGUGUUUAAAAAUGUCUAUUUAAUUUUGGGGGGAGGAAAGGUAGCUUUGAUUGCACUUGGUGAUUGAGUCUUCAAACUUAAUGCUUCUGGGAAAAAGAUAGCAUAGACUCAUAAAAUCCAGAGAGAAGUCCAAGAAAUCAGUAAGACCAAUCCUUUACCUCCAGGUGGGAUAGAACCUCUGACCUAUUAUCUAGGCAAAAAAUUAUAGUGAAAUUCUCAUAUAUCUUUUCUCCCAGCAUAUAUUAAAUCAAAGUGCAACUAGGCAUCUGUUAUUGGAGCAUUAUAAAGCCGUAUGUGAUAUUCACUAAUACUAAAUGCCUGGAAGGAAACUAAGUUAAUACAUAUGGCUUUAAAUUUACAAGUGAAGACUCAUCCAUCAUCAAAGACCCAGAAUGCUCACUGCCGUCACAUUAAAAAUAACUUACAAAAGAUAUGUUUUCAUUUGUGUAUCAUCCCCUUCAACACAGGAAAGCAAGAGAAGGAUAUGUGUGCAUUUCCUGGACUUGAUCUGGAGCAUGCAACACAUUCUACAAAGGGAUUAAAGGGCCUGAGGUCUCUUAGACACGUUGUGCCAAUUUCAUGUCAGAGACAACUUAAGCUGUGGAGUCUUCAAAUGAAUGGUACUUAUGCAUCCUGCCAAAGUCAUAAGCAUUACUGGAGGUUCUUAUAAACAAGAACAACAACUGUACAUUAGGGACAGAUAGAAGACAGUUCUGGAAUGGAAUCCUGUGGUGAUAUCCCAAAUACUGUAUGGUUUCAUUUACCGGAAGAAAGAACAUGCAGCCCAUAUUCUACUUCACGUAUCUGAUUAGAGAGGCAUUACCAAGAGCAUUUGUUUCAGAAUUCUACGAUUGACAAAAGAGAAAGAGGAAACAAAAUCCUCCUCUGUCUUCAUUGUUGGCAGGGCCUUCUUAGGAUCGCAAAAACAAAAUUUCUUUCUCUUCUAAUUUUGACCUUUUCUGUUUGGCAGACGUUGACUUUUUUUUUUCCUGACUGUGUUUCUAAUGGAGCCUGAAAUUAACAUGGCGUUUUGUUUACCUCCUAAUUUGUGUGCUGCCAUCAUCAAUGUUGUCAGCAUAGUUCUGGGAAUAGGGUUUGUUUCUGCUUCUCUUGAGCCAGCAAAGGAAGAAAUGCAGAAAAGGCUGCUCUACUCAUCCCAUUCCAGUUUAAAAUCCUCUUCUUUUCACAGAAAUGGUCUUAGCCAAGCAGGCAAUGACCUUCUGCAUUGUUGGCUAUAAAAGCCCGACAACGAUCUUCGAGUGCUUAUCCUCGAUGACAUUUAUGGGCUGCUUUUGACACAGCUGAGUAUUCCCUGACUCCCCUCUAUUCUCUGUUCACAUGGUACCCAGAAAUCGAGCCUUCCUAGUUGUCUUCAUCCUUCAAAGGAUGCCUUGUGGGCCCGGGUUCUCCGCUCUUCUCCUAUUCUUUGGUGAAGCUACCUAUUCCAAGUCUUCAGGUGCUCCCUAUAAAGAGAGGACACUCGAUUCUUCCUGAAUUUUUUAUUUUGCCUUCGCUUUCUCACACUAAGUUAUGCUUAUGCUUCAUGGUCAUAUCAAGCUCAGUUUGGGAGAUGGGGAGAUAAUAUUUCUUCUGUGAGAAAGUGUUUUGAAAUGUCACAACAAUUUUUAGAAACAGAGAUGGGUUUUGCUUUGGUCUUUAAGUCUUCCUAGUCUUUUGAUCCCACUGUUUUGUCCAUUAGUCAGCUUCUAUUAUUUCAUUACCAAUAUUCAUCUUCUCCAGAAGCAUUUUUCAAUCAGUAAAUACAUUUGAAAAGCAUAAGAACCUCUUUUUAAAAAUGACUUAUCCAGUGGCUCACGCCUGUAAUCGCAGCACUUUGGAGGCUGAGCCGGGUGGAUCAUGAGGUCAGGAGAUCGAGACCAUCCUGGUUAACACGGUGAAACCCCGUCUCUACUAAAAAUACAAAAAAAUUACCCGGGAGUGGUGGUGUGCGCCUGUAGUCCCAGAUACUCGGGAGGCUGAGGCAGGGGAAUGGCGUGAACCCGGGAGGUGGAGGUUGCAGUGAGCUGAGAUUGUGCCACUGCACUCCAGCCUGGGCAACAGAACGAGACUCCAUCUCAUAAAUAAAUAAAUAAAUAAAUAAAUAAAUAAAUAAAUACACAAAUAAAUAUAAACUUUUUAAAACUUAAAAAGUACUAUUUUAACCUUUUAAAAAUGUACAGCUCAGGCCAGGUGCAGUGGCUCAUACCUGUAAUCCCAGCACUUUGGGAGGCUGAGGCGGAUGCAUCACUUGAAAUCAGGAGUUCAAAACCAGCCUGGCCAACAUUGUAAAACCCUGUCUCUAUCAAAAAUACAAAAAUUAGACAGGUGUGGUGGUGGGCGCCCAUAAUCCCAGCUACUCGGGAGGCGGAGGCACAAAAAUUGCUUGAACCCGGGAGGCGGAGGUUGCAGUGAGCCAAGAUCGCACCACUGCACUACAGCCUGGGCAAAAGUGACUCCCUGUCAAAAAAAAAAAAAAAAAAAAAAAAAAAAAAAGUCCAGUUCAGUGGCAUUAAGUACGUUCACAGUGUUGUGCCACCAUCAUUGCUAUCCCUUUUCAGGACUUUUUUAUCCCAAGUAGAAACUCUGAACCUGUUAAAUAAUUAUUCUCCAUUGCUCCCUAAUCUCCAGCCCCAGACAAGCUCUAUUCUACCUUCCAUUUCCAUCAAUUUGCCUAACCUAGGUACCUCAUAUAAGUGGAAUCAUAUUUGUCCUUUUGUAUCUGGUUUAUUUCACAUAGCAUGUUUUCAAGAUUUCUCUCUGUUAUAGCAUGAAUCAGACUUUUAUUUCUUUUUAUGGCUGAAUAUUUAAUUGUAUGUAUAUACCACAUAUUGUUUACCCAUUUGUCUGUUGAUGGACAUUUGGGCUGUUUCCACCUUUUGUCUAUUGUGAAUAAUGCUGCUGUGAACAUUGGUGUACCAGUAUCUGUUUGAGUCCCUGCUUUCCACAGAAGGACACUCUUUUGCUUUACAAAUGUAUCAACUUCAUCCAGAAAUAAUGUCUAGAAAGGUCCCAGUGAUUACUAAUCUAUCCAGGUCCACAACUUGGGUUUGGGUGUUGCUCCAGUCACUCACCUGUUUGCUUUUAGAUCAGUGCUUUUUCCUUCUUUGCCUACUCUGUUUGCCUGGGAUGACAUUGCCUAGACUCCCUUGCGCUACACCUUCCAGGUAGUUUUAGCCAAUGUGAAGCAUUGGAAGGAGGCCGAGGGACAGAAGAGGGAAUAUCCCUCUCUAUAUAUCACUUUGCUUCUGGUGGCGUCUUUGGCAGUGGCUGCAUCUCCUCCUGGUUCCAGCUCCUACUACAACAGUCCACUGGGUUCCAAGUUCUGCCAGGCAGCCUGUUACUUCGAGGUUCUGCCUUGUCCUUUGUCCUUCCAGCUUCAGGGAAGGUAGAAACUUCCUACUGUUGCUAAUUUCUGGGCUGCCUCAGUUUUGAAGUUUCAAUAUUCAGCUCUUUUAUCAUUUGUGCUGUCAAUUCCUUCCAUUAUGUUCCUUCUUUUAAAAACACUUGGAGUGGCAUCUGUGUUCCUGACUAGAACCUCACUGAUGAAUCUUCUACUGGAGAAAGAAGUUUCAAAGUUUCUUAGGCCAUAGAACCUGUGGUAGUGACUCCUGGUUGUCCUCAAUAUAUAAUCCAUCUAAUAUGAAUAUUUAGCUGUGAUUCUGCCUCUCAGCCUCUUUUGUAGUUUAGCAUGGCCAUGUGAACAAGUUCUGGCAAAAGUGAUGGAAUCAGAUGUGCUGGAUGGAUGACUCUAAACCUUCUUUAAAAGUCAGCUGUUCCAUACCCUCUGUACUUCUUCCCCUCUUCUUCCUGUGGCUUGGAGCAUAAAUGUGACCACUGGAGUUCCAUCCUGGAACAUGAGAACAAGGACUUCAUUCUAAGGAGGGCAGGACCAAAAGCUAGAAGGAACCUGAGUCCUUGAGAACUCUGUGGAGUAAAGCCACCACCCCAGCCCUGCUCUUCCUACCUCUGCAAUUUUACAUGAGCAGCAAAUAAAAUUCUCUUUUGUCUAAGCUGCUGCUAUUUUGAGUCUGUGCUUAUUGCAGCUGAAUCCUAACCGAUUCAGGAUCCAAAUCAUGAGCUCUGUGUCUGUCCUAGACUGCUGAUGAACUUUCUGGUACCUUUCCUUACUUCAUUAAAGCAAGGUCCUUGAUCUUCCGAUCUUAUCCUAAGUUUUUGCCUUCUCCUGUUUAUACUUAGAAUUGACGUAUCCUCAUCUGUGAAGCUUUCAAAAAGCUUUAUUCCUUUUAAGAGCUUCUGCUUUGCCUACUAAGUUUUCUCUGAAAGCAGGGUAAGAUCUGGCCACUGACCAAGCUGAUAUCCAACCUAGAAAAUGAUUAAAGCCUGAAUGUUAGGGAAUUUUUAAUUAAAAGCCUGGGAACAUUGUUCCUUGGGUAUUAAUAAAGUCAGUAAAAUGGAGAACCAGCAUGACCUAACAUCACAAGAAAGGCCAUUAGUGUCCUAGUCUGCUAGCCCCUCUUCAUGGAGCUGAUGGGCUGUAACUGCACCUAAUGACUGCCAAGCAUACAUAAAUCUCACCUAUACUUUAUUCAAGUGGGUGUCAAUUAGAAAUGUGGACUUCUGGAAUGGUGGCUCCCAAAUGUUGUUGUGUGUGAAAAUCAUUUGGGGAAAUUUGUCUGAAAUGAAGAUUCAUAUCCUUCCACUCAUGAUUUAGUUGGAUGCGGUGGGGGCCAUAAGCUAUCUGUUCAAAAGGACCCCAGGUGCCUCUAAAGCACAUGGUCUAUGGACCACAUGAUGAGAAACAUUGCUUCUGGGAAGCUCAUAAAUGCUGUAAAGCAGCCACAAGUGAAGAGAGCUGUCAUCAGCUGGGGGUGGGAUUAGAGAACAUUAAUUGAUGUCUACCACAUGCCUGGGGCUCUGCUAGGCAUAAUUCAGACAUCAACUUAGUUUAUGCCUACAAUAAACCUGCAUAAUUAUUAUUGUUACCCUUGUUUUACAGUGAGCAACCUGAGGCUCAGAGAAAUUAAGCAAUUUGCCUAAAGUUACAAUGCAGCUUCAAAGCUGGGGGUGUGUGUGCUAAAUACAUUCUGUUUAUUCCUCUGUACAGUUUGGCUCUAUACACUUGUUCAUCGUGCUUUGCGCUCCUAGAUGCUGACCUGUACAGAGGGAUGCUCUGCCUCUGGCUUUUGUUUGGGUUGGGUUCUGCCAAUGUGAAGUGCUGGGAGAAGACUGGAAAGAAGGAGAAAGGCGAGGUCAGGGUAUUUCUUCCCCCGGCCUCCUUCACUGUAGGUGGCCAUGGCUGCUGCCCUUGACCAAAGGUCACAGCCCUUAUGACAGCCCUCUUUCCACGUGACUGUUUUCUUCCAAGUUCCUGUAACUGUUCCCCUUCUGCUAGAGAGAACAUCAGGCCUCAUGCUGAUAACUGGUAAUUCCUGUUUUCCUCUCUAGCUAGGAUGAGGUAGUAUGCUAACCUUUUGUUUCUCUACAGCUUGUCCUUCAUUUUGUAAACAUAGUCAUUUCUUCAUUAAAUUCUCCAAAUCACUCACUCAUUUGAGCGUUCCAUUUGUUUCUUGCUGGGAACCUGAUACAGGCUGUUUGGCUCUGAAGUCUUCCUCUUUCCACUCUUCUACACCCCCUCAUUUCACCUUCCUCACAUAAUAAUUGUGAUGAUGGUGAUGAUGACGAUGGCAAUGAUACCAAGACACUUACUGUAUGAGCACUUAUUAUAUGCAAGGUGUUGUGCUGAGAACUUUACAUAAAUGAUCUUAUUUAAUUUCCACAACUACCCUAUGCAUUAGGCACUGCUUCACUCCCAUUUUGCAGGGAGGAAAAUGAAUUUCAGAAAUUAAGUAAUUGACCCCAGCAGAACCGGUAAAUGUUGGUGCUGAGAUAUGAGCAAUACUCACUCCUUCUACCAGGCAUCAGGGCCAUCAUCACACAAUAUUUUCCCAGCUAAAUGUGUGAGUAAAAUUCUUGAAAAUAAAGAUGUCGAAAAGUCGAUGUUACUUAUUUUUCAGGCUUGAAUCAGAAAAAAAUGCCUUCCAUUUCAAAAAGGAAUAUGUUGUACACAUGACUUUUUUUUUUUACUUUCUCCAUCACAACUUAGUUCAGACCCCUCUACUGCACAGAUGGCAAGUUCUAAUAGCUGCUUAACACGCCUCCAGCCUCUCCCCAUUUUAUUCUGCACCCUGCUUGUCACACCAUCCUAUAAAUGUUCUUAAAAUUUAUUUUGAUUAUGGUCAUGCUUCUGGAAAUAAUCAAUAUAAUUCAAAUGAUUACUUCUAGGAAAAGCCCAAAUUUUAGGUAAUACAAAGACUUCAAGGAUAAGAUCUUUCUUGAUUCCUAAAUCUUUUAUUAUUAUUAUUUCAAUAGGUUUUUGGGGAACAGGUGGUGUUUGUUUACAUGAAUAAGUUCUUUAGUGGAAAUUUCUGAGAUUUUGGUGCACCCAUCACCUGAGCAGUGUACACUGCACCCAAAGUGUAGUCUUGUAUCCCUCACCCUCUUUCCACCCUUUCUCCUGAGUCCCCAAAGUCCAUUGUAUUAUUCUUCUGCCUUUGUAUCCUCAUAACUUAACUCCCACUUAUGAGUGAGAACAUACAAUGUUUGGUUUUCCAUUCCUGAGUUACUUCACUUAGAAUAAUGGUCUCUAAUUCCAUCCAGGUUGCUGCAAAUGCCAUUAUUUCGUUCUUUCUUAUGGCUGAGUAGUAUUCAAUGGUGUAUAUAUAUAUUUGAGAUAUAUAUGUGUGUGUGUGUGUGUGUGUGUGUGUAUGUGUAUUAUCACAUUUUAUUUAUCCACUUGUUGAUUGACGGGCAUUUGGGCCAGUUCCAUAUUUUUGCAAUUGUGAAUUGUGCUCUUACAAAUAUGCAUGUGCAAGUAUCUUUUUCAUAUAAUGACUUCUUUUCCUCUGGGUAGAUACCCAGUAGUGGGAUUGCUGAAUCAAAUGGUAGAUCUGCUUUUAGUACUUAAAGGAUUAUUCCUAAGUUCUUUUUUCAGACUUGAAUAUGACUACUCCCUUAUAUAUUCAGAAGCCUAAAAAAUCCAACCUAUAGGCCUUUGCUUACAGAGUUAUCUUUGCUUAGAAUUCUACUCCUUCUCUUAAAAAUUCCAUGAAGGCCUCCCUUACCAUCUUCACUUAGCUCCUGGGUCUCUGAUGACAUUAGUCCCAUAUUUUCUGUCUUGUGUUGCCACAAUUUAUGCUCAUGCUUAAGGACAUUAAUUCCUCUCUCCCUACUGUGCUCCUCUCAGCAUAUUCCUGUAUCCAUGACACAAAACAGACCUGCAUUCUUUAAACAUACUCUCUGGUUGCAGAGACCAUUGAAGGUACUUAAUAAUUAUUAAAGGAAAGAAAGCUUUACAGCUUCCCCUACUUUCCUUAUAGAACAGGAAAUUGACACCCAAGAUGUUUGUUGUCACUUUCAAGAAUGAGGACAGGAAGAGGCACUAACACUUUUGCUGAUGCUGUUUUUCCUGCUUAGAAUGUUUUUCUUCUAUGUGCCUCUUUAGACUCUAUUCAUCCUUCAACCCCAGAUAUUGCCUCUCUAAUCACACAAAAAAAUCACUCCUUCCUUUGUGCUGUUUCCUUUGUUUGGUCUCCUUUUUUUUCCACUCAUGCCUCAGACCUAAUAUUGUUGGUUUAUCUGCUUGCUUUUCUACCUUGAUGAGUAUGUGGUGUUCAGUAUCUAUUCCAGUCUGUCUCUAGUGUGCCUUAUUGUACUGAAGAGGCUGUAAAGCCAAAAACUAAAUUUGCAAGACUCCUUUGCAGCUAGAUUGUAGGUUCAGCAAAUUAGAUUGUCUUUUUUGAGAUUUGGAUAGAGAAAGUGAGGUGGAGGCUGCACAUCCACAGCUGUGAAAGACACUGAGUUUUCUGUGGCAGAGCUCUGAGGAACAGCCAGGACUACAUGGGUAUCCAGAGGCAGUUGCAAUGCUGGUGGUUUUCUGAUCCCUGGAUCACUGCUAAGGUGGGUAUGCUCUUGACUUCAAUGAUUUCCCUAGGAUUCUCCUGAAUGCCUACCUUCUCUUGUUGAGGCAGAGAGAGAGUUGCUGUCCUCACAAUGUCAGACGGGUGGUCUUGUUCAGAAGUCAUUUCUAGAAUGCCAGCAAAGAACUUGGACUUCCUCUAGCGCUUCCAACAAUUUCCUAAGCAUCUAAUUCCCUAUAUUAACUACUUUCUGCUGAAAAUAACUCAUGUGGUUUCUAUUUCCUUCACCUGAGCCCUAACUAAUAUUCCUACCAGAUAGAUAGUUUGUUGAGGGCAGGGUCUGUAUCUUUUUAUCUUUGUAUCCUCUGUAUCUUGAAUGGCACCUAUGACAUAGUAGAAAGAUUUUAAUGCAUGUUUAUAGGAAUAAGCAUUUGGCUAGUCUCCACAAUACACUAAAUGUUCUCUGUUACCUCAUUAAUUCUCACAACAGCUCUAUGAAGUCAGGGUAAUUAGUCUCAUUUUACAAGUACAAAGGUGAGGCUCAGAAAGAUUUAGCAAACUGCUCAAAGCAUCUGAUACAGAGCCUAGUAGCUGUUAUCAGACUGCAGGGAAAAUCUGCAGCCUUCGAAAUCCUUGCUCUUUUUAUUGCAGUAUUGCUUCCUUAUAUGAUAAAAGGAUUUCUGAAGAAAAAAAAUGAAACUUGGGUUAGGGUCAUAUACAUUUGAGAGCAAGGGUUAGCAAACUAUGGCCUGUGGCCAAAUCUAACCCACUACCUUUUUUUAUGAAUAAAGUUUUAUUAGAACACAGCCAAGCACAUAUUCAUUUACAUAUGUCUGUGGUUGCUUUUGUGCUACCACAGCAGAGUUGAGUCAUGGCAACAGAAACUCUCUGGCCUACAAAGCACGAAACACUUACUAUCUAGCCCUUUAUAGAAAGUUUGCUGAUCCCUGUUUAGAGCAUCUCUGUAACAUAUAGUUAUGCUAGGCUUAUCCAAAGUUUCAGAUGAACUUUGAAGCAGGUCUAGGUGAUUGAAAACAAGACAUAAAUUCUGAGGCUCAUAUGCACUUGGAGUCUAUGUAGUGGCCUUGGCCUUAUUAAGUCUCUCAGAAAAGAAUGUUCUUUUUGGUUUUCUUAGUUGGCUUAUUUUUCUUCUUCCGUCUCUGCAGCACACCCAUCCUUCUCAGAAACUCUGUUUUCCUCAGCUCUUUAUUUUCUCUCCCUGGAAAAGCUACCCUUUCACUUGAUUUCAAUAAUCACCAUCCUUUUUUGAUCACGAAGGCUUUUUCUCUAAUUAAUUCCCUUAAACACCUCCAAUCAUAUCUCCAACAGUGUCAAUUAUUGCUGGUUUUAUAUUUUACUAUGACCUCACACUCAGUAGGUCCAAAAGGCAGUUAAUUAUGUAUCUUCUCUUCAGUGUUCCGUCUUUACUACCAUCCUGUGAUUCUUCUCAUAUUUGGGCUUGACAUCAGUUGGCCUCCUCAAUCUUAUUUUGCCUUAGAAAUGUGCCCACAUCUUGCUAUUUCCUCUUCAUUCCUGGGAUCACUACACCUUUACACAUUUUCACCAUCUCAUAUCUGGAUUAUUUUAAUCACCAUGUAGAGGUCUCUCCCUUUCCCUACACACCCUGCAGUGCUCUCUUAACCUUUAGCAAUUGCUACUUUUAUCAUGUUAUAUAGCUUUGCAGAGCUUUUGGCUGUUUAUCUGUUCUUGCAUCAAAUAUAAACACCCUCUGACUGCUGCUCUACACUAUGCCUGUCUCUGAAUGCUUCAGAAGUUCAUAGACAAAAUCUGUCAGUUCCAGCCUCUGUUGCUGAUUUUUACUUGAAAGGCCAUCCUCAUCCCCUCCAUGCCUCUGAUCUUCACAUCCCUCCAGACCCAGAUCAUGUCCCAUCUCAUGAAUAUUUACAGGGCCACUUCCUCUUCUCUUUUGUUCUGUUGUCUAAACUCUUAUAGUCUUUACAACAUUUAUUUAUAUAUUGUCUUAGAAUAUCAUUUGAUAUGGGGUAGUCUUUUCUCCUCCUCAUUUAAAUAUGGUUCUACCAUCCCCACCAUGGCCAUCUCCAACUACAGCUUUUAUUAAACCACUUGUAGAGUGAAUAUCCAUGCAGGACAGGCUCUCUGUAUUUUUAAUGUGUUAUAUCUAAUACAACAACCUUUUGGAUAAUGAUUUUAUCUAAAGUGUGCAAUUGAGGAAAUUGAGGUUUAGAAAGGUUAAUAGUGAGUCCAAGUAAGAAUCAUCUAGUAAGAAUCAGAGCUAAGUUCAAAGGGCUAACUUCAAAAUCCCUGAUCUUCCCAGACUAAACUCAUAGAUGACACAGAGACUGAGCAAGGGAAGCUUAGUUACCUUGACUUGGUAUUAAAUGAAAUAACAGUAUUCCCAUAGUUACUACUAAGGAAUCUUGUCCUUUCUUAAGAUGACUAAACCACAUUGGUAGGGAGACAACCAUAGAAAAACUGAGAAUUUGCAUCCACAAAGAGGAGAUUAUAUUACAUAGGUCUCAAAAUUGGAGUUUUCCCUCCAUCAAGAGCCACUGGUACAAAACCAUUAAUGGAAGUAUUUAAGAGAUGCCCUCUCUGUCACAUAUCUGCUGUGGGAUUUAAGGAAGGAAUUUUCUCUUCUAAACACUCACACAUCCAAACUAGAAAUCCAUGUGGAAUAUAAGCCACGUUAUGCCCCUAUAUUGACAUAUUAGUUCAAAACUCUGAUGGCAUGCAGUUGUGAGAGCAGCAGGGAGGAAAAUUAUAUAACCUGAUGGCAACUUGAUAAUUUAUACUUUGAGAUAACUUAUUCUGGAUUUUCCUCACUUGUAUUUCUCCACUUGGCCACGUACAAAGCAACAGCUGCAGUGGUCGUUUUGGAGUUCCUCCAGGAUGUGAAUGUGAGACCUGCCAAUCUUCCCUCCUCCUUUCCUGCAGGUACCUACCUGCAGUGACUCUAUUGGCAACCCCAAAGUGCUAAAGUUUAUCAAGAAGUAUGUGGAAAUUAACAAAGAAUUCUUUCUGUCUAUAGAAAGCAUGCUAUAUUGGGACCUUUCGGUAUAGCAGACAGAAUGUGUAACAAGAGACUAAAAAAAGCAAUAUGGUUCCUCCAAGCAGAUAGUGGUGGCUGGGGGUAGAAGUGAACCAGAGACAGUUAGUUUAUAUACCUCUGAAGAGAACAUCUCCUGUGAUCCCAUUAUUGCAUUUUUUCCUAAGUCUGAAAUAUUUACCCUGGUUUCUAUGAUUUAAUGGAAAGAAAAAACGCUGAAAUGCAUAAAGGUUUUCAUUUCUGAUAGAAAUUUGGUGAUUAUCUAGUAUUGAAAUUUGGCUAUUUUUUGACAUGUGCUUGUGUGUGUGUAUGUGUGUGUGUGUAGAGGGAGAGAGGAGAUGGGGGGAUCUCAUGCUGAUGAAUAAUUCUGAAUUUUUACUUGAAAGAUAUUUAAAGUAAAGGUUCUUGAGGAGGUGAUUUGUGUCUUUAAUCUUGCUCAAAUGUAAAAUAAAGUGUAAUUCUAAACAUCUUUAAAUGUUCCUAAUUUCAGAUCUCACUAUCCUCAUUAACUUAAAAUCAAGGAACAAAUAUAGGCUUGGCAUUUUCUAUAUAUUUUUUCUGUAUCUGCUAAACUAUUUUAAUUCAUAAAUUCUAUAGCAUAAAAUAAAAUGGAAAUACCAUUUGUUAAGCAGGGUAAUGUGACUCAGUGGUUGCCAGUGGAAACCUGAAGAUAUAAAAUAUACCAGCUUUCUUCUUUUUUUAACUUUUUAUUUUGAAAUAAUUAUAGACUCACAGGAAGUUUCAGAUAAGUGUACAGGGAGGUCCUGUGUGUAUCAAAAUGAAGAAACUCACAUUUAUAUAAUCAAUCAAUUUUACAAGCACUUGUGUGUGUGUUUGUAUGUGUGUGUGUAUUUCUAUGAAAUUUUAUCACAUAUGUGGCUUUGUGUAACAAAGAUACAGAGCUGUUCCAUUACCUACAGGAUUUCCUUGUGCUAUACUUUCAUAGCCACAUCCAUCCCUCACUCACCAUCCCUGACCCCUGGCAACCAAUAAUUUUUUUUGCCAUCUCUAUAAUUUUGUUAUUUCAAGAAUGUUAUGCACAUAGAAUCAUAGAGUAUAUAACCUUUUGAAAUUGGCUUUUUCUCCACUCAGCAUAAUUCCCUUGAGAUUUUUCCAGUUUGUUGCCAUGUUUCAGUAGUUUGUUCCUUUCUGUUGCAAAAUGAUAUGCCAUGGUGUGGAUGUACCACUGUACAUCCUUACACCCACUGAAGGAUAACCUUACACCCACUGAAGGAUAUUGGAUUGUUUCCAGUCUUCGGCUAUUACAAAUAAAGCGGCUAUGAACAUUAUUAUACAGGUUUUUGUAUGAACAUAGGUUUUUAUUUUUUCUGGGACAAAUGUCCAACAGCGUUCUUUUUAAAGAAAAGAAACUUCUUAAAAACUUUUUAUUUCUGCCUUAUGCAGUAAGUAGAAUAAUAAAACUAACUUCACGUACAUAUUUACCUAGUGUCUUCCUACUCAUACUUAGUUGAUAACUAUGUUAUCUCGCCUCUUGGAAAGAUUCUUUUCCUCUGUUUUCUGACCAAAAGCUUUAGAGGACUGGCUUGGUGUUUCAUUCUUAUGGAGACAUGCUCACAUGGAACCACUGCCAUUUGCUUUUGGUGAAUGCUGUUAAUUUCUCAACUGCUUUUUGUAGCUCAUCUGAAAUAACAAUAACAAAAUUCCCAAAAAGUGCAAAGUCUCAUUCCUGUGUUCGAGUUUUAAAACUCUGAAACCUAAAGAUAAACUUAACCACAUAUCAAAAUAUCAGGUCAAUAUAGAUAUUCACCUUGAAAUUAUAGGCAAUUACCCUAAUUUGCAUGAAUAGCUUCCCCCAGAUCUCCUAAAUUCCUGAGUUUAGAUUUUCCCAGGAGAGAGUGAGAGAUCCAUCACCUUAUCCUUUGUAAGGCAUCUGUGGGGUGAAGAAGUUUCUCUGAGCCAAGAGAGAGCCAUGGAUUCUGUCAUGAAUUAGGCACUGGGAAUGGGAUCAUGGGAAGUGAGAGUGAUGAAACAUAGACUUGUUACUCAUAUGUGGUUCCUUGAGGGCUCGGGAUAAGUGUCUUAAAAUAGUUAUUUUGGAAUAAACCUCACAGCAUUUUAGAUGCCAUCAGAAGGUUAGAAAAAAAAACUUCCAGAAGCCUCCCAUUAGGGACAGUGGAGGGAACCCAAAGCUGAACUACCCACCUAGGAAGGGGCUGAGGAAGGAAAAACUGCUGCAGGCUGAAGAAGCGUCCACCACUGUGGGACUGUUAGAAACUUCUAGGGGGUGCUGGUUGGUGGGGGCAGCAUCUGCUGAAUGGAGUUAUUACCAGGUUUCCCCCUGAGAGCUGCAGUCCCAACAUCAGAAUGAAGAGAUCUAACUGCUUAGAGAUUUCUGUUACCAUCUUCUUUUUGAUGUGAAUUACUCUUGAAAUGCCGGAGAAGGGACAAAUUUCAAAAAUAAAAUGAAUCAUACAAA